rnacentral:rRNA from 1 species
UGGGGAAUUUUGGACAAUGGGGGCAACCCUGAUCCAGCAAUGCCGCGUGUGUGAAGAAGGCCUUCGGGUUGUAAAGCACUUUUGUCCGGAAAGAAAACUUCGGGGCUAAUACCCCUGGAGGAUGACGGUACCGGAAGAAUAAGCACCGGCUAACUACGUGCCAGCAGCCGCGGUAAUACGUAGGGUGCGAGCGUUAAUCGGAAUUACUGGGCGUAAAGCGUGCGCAGGCGGUGCUGUAAGACCGAUGUGAAAUCCCCGGGCUUAACCUGGGAAAUGCAUUGGGGACUGCAGGGCCGGAGUAUGGCAGAAGGGGGUGGAAUUCCACGUGUAGCAGUGAAAUGCGUAGAGAUGUGGAGGAACACCGAUGGCGAAGGCAGCCCCCUGGGCCAAUACUGACGCUCAUGCACGAAAGCGUGGGGAGCAAACAGG